GGCGGUAUAGCUCAGUUGGCUAGAGCAUGCGGUUCAUACCCGCAGUGUCGAUGGUUCAAGUCCGUCUACCGCUACCA
rnacentral:tRNA from 1 species